UUUCCGUAGGUGAACCUGCGGAAGGAUCAUUAACGAGUUAGGGUCUUCUAGGCCCGACCCCCCAACCCUAUGUUUAUUGAACCUCUGUUGCUUCGGCGGACCCGCCUCACGGCCGCCGGAGGACCGCUGCAAGGCGUCCUCUGGCCAGCGUCCGCCGAUGGCCAACCACUUAAACUCUGAAUGAAUCGUGUCAUAUGUCUAAGUCUAUGAUUAAAUUAAAGCAAAACUUUCAACAACGGAUCUCUUGGCUCUC
rnacentral:misc_RNA from 1 species